rnacentral:rRNA from 1 species
GAAGCCCAGCUUGCUGGGUGGAUCAGUGGCGAACGGGUGAGUAACACGUGAGCAAUCUGCCCCUGACUCUGGGAUAAGCGCUGGAAACGGCGUCUAAUACCGGAUACGAGCUGCGGCCGCAUGGUCGGCAGUUGGAAAGAUUUUUCGGUCAGGGAUGAGCUCGCGGCCUAUCAGCUUGUUGGUGAGGUAAUGGCUCACCAAGGCGUCGACGGGUAGCCGGCCUGAGAGGGUGACCGGCCACACUGGGACUGAGACACGGCCCAGACUCCUACGGGAGGCAGCAGUGGGGAAUAUUGCACAAUGGGCGGAAGCCUGAUGCAGCAACGCCGCGUGAGGGAUGACGGCCUUCGGGUUGUAAACCUCUUUUAGCAGGGAAGAAGCGAAAGUGACGGUACCUGCAGAAAAAGCGCCGGCUAACUACGUGCCAGCAGCCGCGGUAAUACGUAGGGCGCAAGCGUUAUCCGGAAUUAUUGGGCGUAAAGAGCUCGUAGGCGGUCUGUCGCGUCUGCUGUGAAAUCCCGAGGCUCAACCUCGGGUCUGCAGUGGGUACGGGCAGACUAGAGUGCGGUAGGGGAGAUUGGAAUUCCUGGUGUAGCGGUGGAAUGCGCAGAUAUCAGGAGGAACACCGAUGGCGAAGGCAGAUCUCUGGGCCGUAACUGACGCUGAGGAGCGAAAGGGUGGGGAGCAAACAGGCUUAGAUACCCUGGUAGUCCACCCCGUAAACGUUGGGAACUAGUUGUGGGGUCCAUUCCACGGAUUCCGUGACGCAGCUAACGCAUUAAGUUCCCCGCCUGGGGAGUACGGCCGCAAGGCUAAAACUCAAAGGAAUUGACGGGGACCCGCACAAGCGGCGGAGCAUGCGGAUUAAUUCGAUGCAACGCGAAGAACCUUACCAAGGCUUGACAUAUAGAGGAAACGUCUGGAAACAGUCGCCCCGCAAGGUCUCUAUACAGGUGGUGCAUGGUUGUCGUCAGCUCGUGUCGUGAGAUG